AUGCACAUGAAUGCAGGGAUCUUGUUAAAUGCAGAUUCUGAUUCAGAAUUCCUAAAACAGAGCCUGCAUCUACAUUUCUAAUAAGCUCCCAGAUGAUGCCAAU
rnacentral:miRNA from 1 species